CAUGCCGCGUGUGUGAAGAAGGUCUUCGGAUUGUAAAGCACUUUAAGUUGGGAGGAAGGGCAGUAAGUUAAUACCUUGCUGUUUUGACGUUACCAACAGAAUAAGCACCGGCUAACUUCGUGCCAGCAGCCGCGGUAAUACGAAGGGUGCAAGCGUUAAUCGGAAUUACUGGGCGUAAAG
rnacentral:rRNA from 1 species